rnacentral:rRNA from 1 species
UACAGAGGUGGCAAGCGUUGUUCGGAAUUACUGGGCGUAAAGGGCGAGUAGGCGGCCAUCUAAGUCAGACGUGAAAUCCCCCGGCUUAACCUGGGAACUGCGUCUGAUACUGGACGGCUUGAGUUUGGGAGAGGGAUGCAGAAUUCCAGGUGUAGCGGUGAAAUGCGUAGAUAUCGGGAGGAACACCUGAGGCGAAGGCGGGCUACUGGGCCGAUACUGACGCUGAUGCGCGAAAGCCAGGGGAGCGAACGGG